GGCCUAACACAUGCAAGUCGAACGCGCGUAGCAAUACGCGAGUGGCGCACGGGUGAGUAACACGUGGGAAUCUACCCAGAGGUUCGGAAUAACCGCGGGAAACUGCGGCUAAUACCGGAUGCCCCCUACGGGGGAAAGAUUUAUCGCCUUUGGACGAGCCCGCGUCCGAUUAGCUAGUUGGUGAGGUAAUGGCUCACCAAGGCUACGAUCGGUAGCUGGUCUGAGAGGACGACCAGCCACACUGGAACUGAGACACGGUCCAGACUCCUACGGGAGGCAGCAGUGGGGAAUAUUGGGCAAUGGAGGCAACUCUGACCCAGCCAUGCCGCGUGGGUGACGAAGGUCUUCGGAUUGUAAAGCCCUUUCGGCGGGGACGAUGAUGACGGUACCCGCAGAAGAAGCCCCGGCUAACUUCGUGCCAGCAGCCGCGGUAAUACGAAGGGGGCUAGCGUUGUUCGGAAUUACUGGGCGUAAAGGGCGUGUAGGCGGCCCGCUAAGUCAGGUGUGAAAUUCCUGGGCUCAACCCAGGACGUGCGCCUGAGACUGACGGGCUUGAGUCCGGGAGAGGAUGGUGGAACUCCCAGUGUAGAGGUGAAAUUCGUAGAUAUUGGGAAGAACACCCGUGGCGAAGGCGGCCAUCUGGACCGGUACUGACGCUAAGGCGCGACAGCGUGGGGAGCA
rnacentral:rRNA from 1 species